rnacentral:rRNA from 1 species
GACGUAGGCAGCGAACGUUAUCCGGAAUUAUUGGGCGUAAAGGAUGCGUAGAUGGUGUAGUAAGUUAUCGGUGGCAAAUCGAGGCUCAACCUCGUGGAAGUCGGUAAUACUGCUAUGCUAGAGGAUAGGAGAGGUUAACGGAACUCCCUGUGGAGCGGUGAAAUGCGUAGAUAUAGGGAAGAACACCAAUCAGGCGAAGGCAGUUAACUAUUCUAUUCCUGACAUUGAGGCAUGAAAGCGUGGGGAGCAAAACGG